GCUGUCUUUUAUUUUGACUAAUAACAUUUUCAUUUUAAUAAAUAAAUAGAAAUAUAAUUGUACAAGUUUGGAAGACUUAAUGGUAUAAAUAUUCAUACAGAUCAUAUGUAAAAAAUAAAAGUACCUAUCAAAACAUAUUGCUUUUUGGCAGUAAGGUGACAAAUACAGUGUCUUUCAAGUGACCAAUGAAAAUAAAUAUCACAAAUUAUGAGGAAUUUGUUUAAAAUGGUCUUGUGUUCCCUCCAUAUUGAAUAUAAAAUUAUGAUAAAUUAGAUGAUUUAUAUACAGUACCUGGCCAAAAGUAUUCGUCACCUGCAUUUUUUUGCUAUAUAUUCAUAUAAAAACACACUUUUUCCAAAAAAAUAUUUUGAGGGCAUUUAUGGUUGGAUUUUUAUUAGCAAGGCAUUUAAAGAUGUAGAAUUGUCUAAAGUAUGUUUUUUUAUUUGAUAAUAGUUUUUGUCUUCAGGUGUUUUUGUUUUCUCUUGAUGUGAACACAUACAAUAUUUUUUUAUAUUUAAUUUGGUUGAAUAUAUAGCAAAUUUCUGAACAGAAAAUAAUAUACUGGUAUGUGUUUUUGUGAAAAAAUGAAAAUGAUCCACAAAAAAAAUAUAACAAAAUAAACAUAUGACAAUUCUGUUUCUAUUUGGUACCAAGUUGCUUAAAAUCAAAACCAAAAAUGACCCUAAAAUUUAAAAAAAAAAUAUAGUUUUAUAUACAAUAUAUAGCAAAAUUCUCAAGUGAUAAAUACUUAUGGCCUCACUCUGUAUGUUACAUUAUCAUCGUUUACAAAUGGCAAGACAGCUAAAUUCAAUAUCUUGUGAAAAUGUUUUUGAAAGGGAUGGAGGUUACACAUAUAAAAAGAAAAUCUGACAACCAUUUUCUCCACACAAAACAUCAAUUCAAUUAAAAUCUUGACAAAUUUUAGUGUAGGUAAAAAAAAACCAACAUUUUGGACUCAUUGGCUGAAGACUGUUCCCAUUUAUCAUUACAAUGUAGUAUGGAUUCAUUAAUAUUACUACUGUUUUUAAGUUUUGACAAAAGAAUAUUCACUACAAAAAAGGACCUUUUAGAUAGUUGAGCUAGCAAUUUAAGAAUCAAACAAAUAAUGAAUAAUGGUACACUACAACUAACUUUCCCAAGCUAACAA
rnacentral:lncRNA from 1 species